rnacentral:lncRNA from 1 species
AUUGACCACUUCUCUGUGACCGUGGUUGGCACUGAGGUGCUGAGUGUGAGGUCGCGACUGACCUUUGCUGAACUUUUUCUUUUCCUGGAGACUCUAUACUUAGUGUUAGAGAAGGGUGGAGGCCCCGGAUUCUCAUUCCAGAACAAGUCCAGACCAAUACGAUGCAUGCUAGUCAUGCCUUUAUUUAACUGUCGUUUAUAGCAUCAAAUAUUUAAUGAGUGUAUACUAAGUGACAGGUGGUAGAUGAGGACCUGGAGCCCCCAUGUCAUCUACCCCUUCAUCUUCCUGAAACCGGAUGUGGGCUAUGCCGCAAGACAACUCUGACCCAAAGGGAGGUAUGAUCCUGGUACCACAGAAGCCAGGUGUGAUGGUGCAGGCUGCAAUCCCAGCUCUCAGGAGGUGGAAGCACAAAGAUCAGAAGUUGAAGGUAACCGACAGCUAUUGGUCAGCCUGGGUAUAUGAAUGUGUGUGUAGGGGUGGUGGGGAACUGCCAUUUCUUUUAAAAGAUACACACACAAUACAUAUAUAUGUAUUAUAUAUAUACACACACAUAUAUGUAUAUGUAUUAUAUAUACACAUAUAUGUAUAUUUGUAUGUACAUACACACACACAUACAUACAUAUAAAAUGUAUAUGUAUGAGCGGAGCCCACACACAUAUGAGCGGAGCCCAGGUUCUCUGGAAGAGCAGCCAGUGCCCCAUUUCCAGCCCUGGUAUUUGAAAUAGUCAUCAUCCCACUGUUUCC